rnacentral:rRNA from 1 species
AUUGAACGCUGGCGGCAGGCUUAACACAUGCAAGUCGAGCGGGGGAAGGUAGCUUGCUACCGGACCUAGCGGCGGACGGGUGAGUAAUGCUUAGGAAUCUGCCUAUUAGUGGGGGACAACAUCUCGAAAGGGAUGCUAAUACCGCAUACGUCCUACGGGAGAAAGCAGGGGAUCUUCGGACCUUGCGCUAAUAGAUGAGCCUAAGUCGGAUUAGCUAGUUGGUGGGGUAAAGGCCUACCAAGGCGACGAUCUGUAGCGGGUCUGAGAGGAUGAUCCGCCACACUGGGACUGAGAAACGGCCAGACUCCUACGGGAGGCAGCAGUGGGGAAUAUUGGACAAUGGGGGGAACCCUGAUCCAGCCAUGCCGCGUGUGUGAAGAAGGCCUUAUGGUUGUAAAGCACUUUAAGCGAGGAGGAGGCUACUUUAGUUAAUACCUAGAGAUAGUGGACGUUACUCGCAGAAUAAGCACCGGCUAACUCUGUGCCAGCAGCCGCCGUAA